rnacentral:rRNA from 1 species
AGAGUUUGAUCAUGGCUCAGAAUCAACGCUGGCGGCGUGCCUCAGACAUGCAAGUCGAACGAUUAAAGCUCUCUUCGGAGAGUGCAUAGAGUGGCGCACGGGUGAGUAACACGUAAGUAAUCUACCUUCGAGUGGGGAAUAACGUCCGGAAACGGACGCUAAUACCGCAUAAUGCAGCGGCAUCGAAAGAUGACAGUUGUUAAAGAUUUAUCGCUUGAAGAGGAGCUUGCGGCAGAUUAGCUAGUUGGUAAGGUAAUGGCUUACCAAGGCUACGAUCUGUAACCGGUCUUAGAGGACGGUCGGUCACACUGACACUGAAUAACGGGUCAGACUCCUACGGGAGGCAGCAGUCGGGAAUUUUGGGCAAUGGGCGAAAGCCUGACCCAGCAACGCCGCGUGAAGGAUGAAGUAUUUCGGUAUGUAAACUUCGAAAGAAUGGGAAGAAUAAAUGACGGUACCAUUUAUAAGCUCCGGCUAACUACGUGCCAGCAGCCGCGGUAAUACGUAGGGAGCAAGCGUUGUUCGGAUUUACUGGGCGUAAAGGGCGCGUAGGCGGCAAUUCAAGUCAUCUGUGAAAUCUCCGGGCUUAACUCGGAACGGUCAGAUGAUACUGCUUUGCUAGAGUGCAGAAGGGGCAAUCGGAAUUCUUGGUGUAGCGGUGAAAUGCGUAGAUAUCAAGAGGAACACCUGAGGUGAAGACGGGUUACUGGGCUGACACUGACGCUGAGGCGCGAAAGCCAGGGGAGCAAACGGGAUUAGAUACCCCGGUAGUCCUGGCCCUAAACGAUGAAUACUUGGUGUCUGGAGUUAUUAGUGCUCCGGGUGCCGUCGCUAACGUUUUUAGUAUUCCGCCUGGGGAGUACGCUCGCAAGAGUGAACUCAAGGAAUUGACGG